CUUCCAUGCUGUUGAUUAUCUACAUGCAGAUAUCCUAGUGGCCUCUGUGGGUACUGUGUGCAUAAGCGACCAUUGAUAAACGUGGCACUCACGUACCACAUCCGGUUUUGCGAAUUCUCCGAGCCGAGCAUGUCCUUUGAUAUUCAUCGUUCUACUGUAAGCUCAGGAGACAAGACAUUUAAAUGCCCAGCUAAGAUUUGUGGGGCACGUCCUCUCGCGUCAAACGGAGGAAUAUAAUAUCUGUAUAUCUCCAAAAGUUAUCAUCAAUUACUUUGGUAGUAAACAUUAACAAUGUUUAAUGAAGGAGUGCCUAUAGAAAAUCCUCUCUCAAAUUUCAUGUUGAAAAGCGACUUCAGGAUAUUAGAAUUUAU